rnacentral:rRNA from 1 species
UUGAAAGGGAAACGAUUGAAGUCAGUCGUACCAGCGGGAAUCAACCUUUCGAGUGGGGUUUUGGAGUUUUGAAGAGUGUCAAAACCUUUGAGAUUUCAAAAUUUUCGCUCCUUUGGUGUACUUUCUCGUGGGUAGGUUAACAUCGAUUUCGAUCAUCAUAAAAGGAUUGGAGGAAUGUAGCUUCGAUCUUGUAUUGAAGUGUUAUAGCCUUUGGUAAAUGUGAUGAUUGGGAUCGAGGAUUGCAACGAAUACCCUUUUGGGCUAUCCGCCUGAUCUCUGAUACGUGGCCUUGGCAUCGAGAGCUUGCUCAUGGUAUCAAGGUAUUACGGUCAAAAGGUUAGAACGGAUUACAUUCGUUAAGGAUGUUGACGUA